GACGAACGCUGGCGGCGUGCUUAACACAUGCAAGUCGAACGGAAAGGCCCUGCUUUUGUGGGGUGCUCGGGUGGCGAACGGGUGAGUAACACGUGAGUAACCUGCCCUUGACUUUGGGAUAACUUCAGGAAACUGGGGCUAAUACCGGAUAGGAGCUCCUGCUGCAUGGUGGGGGUUGGAAAGUUUCGGCGGUUGGGGAUGGACUCGCGGCUUAUCAGCUUGUUGGUGGGGUAGUGGCUUACCAAGGCUUUGACGGGUAGCCGGCCUGAGAGGGUGACCGGCGAGGUUGGGAGGGGGGGGCGGCCCGGACUGCGGCGGGAGGCAGGGGGGGGGAAGAGUGGGCGGGGGGGGGGGGCCGGAUGCAGCGACGCGGCGUGCGGGAUGGCGGGCUUCGGGUUGUAAGCGGCUUUCGGCUGUGAGGAAGCGUGAGUGACGGGAAUGGGUAAAGAAGCACCGGCUAACUACGUG
rnacentral:rRNA from 1 species